rnacentral:rRNA from 1 species
AAGGAGGAGGCAAGCGGUAAACGGAUAAAGAGGGUUUAAAGGGUGCGCAGGCGGAAUGAUAAGUCAGUGGUGAAAUCCUACGGCUCAACUGUAGAACUGCCAUUGAUACUGUUGUUCUUGAGUACACUUGGAGUGGGCGGAAUGUGUCAUGUAGCGGUGAAAUGCUUAGAUAUGACACAGAACACCGAUCGCGAAGGCAGCUCACUAAUUUGUAACUGACGCUCAGGCACGAAAGCGUGGGGAUCAAACAG